UGGGGAAUUUUGGACAAUGGGGGGAAACCCUGAUCCAGCCAUCCCGCGUGUGCGAUGAAGGCCUUCGGGUUGUAAAGCACUUUUGGCAGGAAAGAAACGUCGCGGGUUAAUACCCCGCGGAACUGACGGUACCUGCAGAAUAAGCACCGGCUAACUACGUGCCAGCAGCCGCGGUAAUACGUAGGGUGCAAGCGUUAAUCGGAAUUACUGGGCGUAAAGCGUGCGCAGGCGGUUCGGAAAGAAAAGAUGUGAAAUCCCAGAGCUUAACUUUGGGAACUGCAUUUUUAAACUACCGGGCUAGAGUGUGUCAGAGGGAGGUGGAAUUCCGCGUGUAGCAGUGAAAUGCGUAGAUAUGCGGAGGAACACCGAUGGCGGAGGCAGCCUCCUGGGAUAACACUGACGCUCAUGCACGAAAGCGUGGGGAGCAAACAGGAUUAGAUACCCGUGGUAGUCCACGCCCUAAACGAUGUCAACUAGCUGUUGGGGGUCUUCGGACCUUGGUAGCGCAGCUAACGCGUGAAGUUGACCGCCUGGGGAGUACGGUCGCAAGAGUUAAAACUUAAAUGAA
rnacentral:rRNA from 1 species